AAAAUUAAUAGCCAAUUCCAAAAAAUAUUUUGCAAUUGAAUUGAAAGCAAGUUAGUUGCUAUUUCUUACAUAUUGCACCCAUUUGAUGAAUGUUACUUCCAAAUAGCUCUACAAUAUGGAAUGGUCGAAUCUUUAUACCAAAUAUACUCCCAUAGUUGCCUAUGCAAUUGUUGAAUACUUACAAAAUACUUGAAUAUCAUACAAGAGACAUUUUAUUAAAGUUUGGACAAAUACAAGACUUAUCCUUGGAAGUGUAAUUACAUGGUAAGCUAGGGCUCAACAUUUGGCAUUAAAGUCAUAUUUAAAAGUAUCAAUCAAAGAUCUUUAAAAAGUAUGAAUUUAUCUCUUUUAUUUUUUAAAAAAUAUAAUUAAAAUCAAAGCACAUGAGAGUUUGGAAUAAACCAAUAUAUGCUAUGAACAUAACAUUGGUUUAUUCACAAAUAUUAUAAAACAUAUGUCCAUAUAUACUUUGAAUCUUAUAUUCAAGAAAUACAUAUGUGUAGAAGCUUUGUUAGAUAUUAACAAUUUUCUUUGCACAAGUAUAUUAACAAAUACAUUGAGGCUCUUAUAUAAACAUCAAAUCUGAAAUAUACUAUGUAAUAGUGGCAUUUUGAUGGUUGAUGAUUUUUAUCCUUAAUAUCAUCUAGUGAAUAAUCUUGAUUUGAUGGCUGCAAUAUUAUUGCUGAAUUGGUUUGCUUCUUUUAAAGAUCUUA
rnacentral:lncRNA from 1 species